UCGUAACCGUGUAACCAAGUGGGGGAUAACUACUCGAAAGAGUAGCUAAUACCGCAUGAGAUCUACGGAUGAAAGCAGGGGACCUUCGGGCCUUGUGCUACUAGAGCGGCUGAUGGCAGAUUAGGUAGUUGGUGGGGUAAAGGCUUACCAAGCCUGCGAUCUGUAGCUGGUCUGAGAGGACGACCAGCCACACUGGGACUGAGACACGGCCCAGACUCCUACAGGAGGCAGCAGUGGGGAAUUUUGGACAAUGGGCGAAAGCCUGAUCCAGCAAUGCCGCGUGCAGGAUGAAGGCCCUCGGGUUGUAAACUGCUUUUGUACGGAACGAAAAGCCUGGGGCUAAUAUCCCCGGGUCAUGACGGUACCGUAAGAAUAAGCACCGGCUAACUACGUGCCAGCAGCCGCGGUAAUACGUAGGGUGCAAGCGUUAAUCGGAAUUACUGGGCGUAAAGCGUGCGCAGGCGGUUUUGUAAGACAGUGGUGAAAUCCCCGGGCUCAACCUGGGAACUGCCAUUGUGACUGCAAAGCUAGAGUGCGGCAGAGGGGGAUGGAAUUCCGCGUGUAGCAUGAAAUGCGUAGAUAUGCGGAGGAACACCGAUGGCGAAGGCAAUCCCUGGGCCUGCUCUGACGCUCAUGCACGAAGCGUGGGGAGCAACAGGUUAGAUACCUGGUAGUCACUCCCUAACGAAUCAACUGAUUGUUGGGCUAACUGACUCAUGACGAAGCUACGCGUGAACUGACAGCUGGGGAUACGGCCGCAGGUUGAAAUCAAAGAAAAACGGGGACCGCGCACCGUUGAGAUGUAUUUAUUCGAGCACUCGAAAACCUUACCCCUUUGACUUGCAGGAACUAACAGAGAUGGUUGGUGCUGAAGAAAUCUG
rnacentral:rRNA from 1 species